rnacentral:rRNA from 1 species
CCUACGGGAGGCAGCAGUGGGGAAUAUUGGACAAUGGGGGAAACCCUGAUCCAGCAAUGCCGCGUGAGUGAUGAAGGCCUUAGGGUCGUAAAGCUCUUUUACCAGGGAUGAUAAUGACAGUACCUGGAGAAUAAGCUCCGGCUAACUCCGUGCCAGCAGCCGCGGUAAUACGGAGGGAGCUAGCGUUGUUCGGAAUUACUGGGCGUAAAGCGCACGUAGGCGGUUACACAAGUCAGAGGUGAAAGCCCGGGGCUCAACCCCGGAACUGCCUUUGAAACUGGGUGACUGGAAUCUUGGAGAGGCGAGUGGAAUUCCGAGUGUAGAGGUGAAAUUCGUAGAUAUUCGGAAGAACACCAGUGGCGAAGGCGACUCGCUGGACAAGUAUUGACGCUGAGGUGCGAAAGCUGGGGAGCAAACAGGAUUAGAUACCCUGGUAGUCCACGCCGUAAACGAUGAUAACUAGCUGUCCGGUCACUUGGUGACUGGGUGGNGCANNACGCAUAUUAUCNCNGGAGUAGUCGCGAGAUAAACUACAANAGAAGUAAGUAGCGUUGAGAGUUGCGAGCGACACGAGGGAGAGG